rnacentral:lncRNA from 1 species
UUUUUAUUGGUUGUUCAAAACAUUAUAAAGCUCUUCACAUAUCAUAUUUCAUACAUUAGAUUCAAGUUGGUUAUGAACUCCCAAUUUUACCCCAAAUACAGAUUGCAGAAUCACAUCGGUUACACAUCCACAUUUUUACAUAAUGCCCUAUUAGUAACUGUUGUAUUCUGCUACCUUUCCUAUCCUCUACACCUGGGUCAAUUUGUAAUGCUUCUCUGUUAAGCCUUAGAAAAAUCUGUUCAAGAGUUUAUAUGCAAAGUGUUCAUUGCCAGGCUAUUUAUGGUAGCAGAAAAUCAGAAACAGUCUUACUGCCCAAAAGUAGGAGAAAUUAUGGCCUAUCCAGAAUUGGAUAUAUUGAUUUGGGGUUCCUCAAAAUUUUCAGUAUUAUAGUUUAAGUAUAUAUCUCUUUUGUUUCUGCUUUUCUUUCUUAAAAUGGAAAGUGUGGAGAAAAUUAGUCUUGCAUAUUGAUGUCCAUAUCAAUUUAGUAAUCUGUUCUUAAAAGUUAUCUUGAAAAAAGAUUAGAAAUAGAACCAUAUAAUUUUAAGGCAGAAAAAGCCAUGUAAUUUAGUCCCCCCAAAUUAUAAAAGUGCC